UCCUCAGCCUGCGACGCUGACUCCCACUCCCGGGUCAACAAGGGUUCCGUCAACAAGGAAGGCAAUGUCAUCUCCGUUUCUUCCAGAUUCUUAUCCACGGAUUCCUUAGAGCAACUAUGUGACCUUCAUUAUUUUGGCUGCUAGACAGGUACACUUGCUGAAUCAUUGGAUUGUACCACUCUUUUUAGAUUAUUUGUAAUUUAUGUGUCCAUUUAAACUAACUUUAUACUGCGUGGUACUCUUUAUUUUUCAAGUUUUAGCAAAUAUUUGCAUCUAACUACAUCCUUCUAUGUACCUGACCUACCUUUCCUUCUCUUUAUUACCGUGUAUAUCACAGGAUGUACCUAUAAAGAAAAAAUGAAAAAGCGUUCUCGAGUAGGAACCCAAGUUAACGAUGCCUGCCAACCAUGUUUUUUUCGGGCUCGAGUAGUUCUGUGCCCGAGAGUAAGAGGGUAAGGAUUAAUGAACCAAUUGCUAUGUCCAAUCCCAUUUUUCAAAGAAAAAGAAGUAUGUUCGCUCAACCCUACAUACGCCGCUUUAAGAGAUUUUGUUUUUGUUAUCUUGCUCUUCAUGGUUCCAUUGCUGGUUUUGUGUUUAUAAAACAUAGAAGAUGUUUUCUUCAGUACACUCUGUCCAACAUGCAAAAGGAAACCCCGCUGAUCGUAUUAGACUGAAGAAGCAAAAAAGUUAUGGUCUUAGCAGGACCACCACUUGAUCCCAGUGGAGAACCCGAAUUACCCCUCACUGUUGAAUUCGUUGAAGCCCUAGAAGGCGCAGGCAACUUAAUAUGAUGUACAAAAAAUAUAUUUAAUGUACUCACUUAAAAUUUUAUUCUACCUGCUACCUUUUUUAUUCCAGCUACAUUCUGUGGCCGAUCAAAUUUGGAAGGCCCCAAAAGGAUUAUAGCUGGCUAAAGACUAAAGAGGCGUGUUGAAUUUAAUCGGUGUUGCAGCGGUGGCCGUGUUCAUAUUGAGCCCUUCCAGGCACCUCCCCCGGUGCUUGCACGGUUGAUGCGGUUCAAUGGUGGUCAAGAGAGGCAUUUCCAUUAGAAUAUUGUCUCCACAAUCUGAUUCGAAGGGGAAAAUUUAUGCAUCGGCAUUUAAAAGCAGUUUGUUUUGUCCAUUUUUGUGUCUUCCCUUUUCAGGAAUAUAAGUGGAUUACUUAACUAUUGCCAGAAUAUCUGUGGGCCUGAUAGAGUUUGUGAGCAAAAUAGGCAGAUUCUUUUCAACAUUCUCACACCAGAGACACAUGCAAGGUAUAUGUUCUUCAUUUACGUUCUUAGCUUAUACUCCCUCCGUUCCUUUCUAUAAUGCCUAUUGUUUUUCCGCUUUUGUUUUAGAAUAUAAGAGUAAAGCUAUGUUUUUUUCAAAGAACCCCUUCCACCGAUCUGUUCCCGUCUAGAAAAUCUGGAAACGAAUAUGUUCCCGUCGAGAAAAUCUGGAAACCAAUCUGUUCCCGUCGAGAAAAUCUGGAAACCAAUCUGAUUAUGGAAAGAAUAGCGGGAGAGAGGGAGUACAUGACGCGAUCUGUUAUGGAAACAGGAUUAUUUUCUGAGAUCUGAUUUCAGUUUCCUAUUUUAUCUCUAAGAUCGCUAGGGGGUUUUGUGUAAAAAAAUAGCUUGCGCUAAUUUCCGUGCCAAAAUACAAUAGGCACUAUAGAAAGGAACGGAGGGAGUAUAAUUUUCAAGAUAAAUACAAAACUAUACUUCCUGGGUUUGAAGUAUAUAUCAUUACAUGUAUCUUCUUCUUUUGAGUGCACUUUCAGAUAUCUUUGUAUCACUGUUAAACUAAUAUUCUUCUGAAAAUGUAGUGGAAACUAUCCAUGUCUAUUUUUGCUGCUUUCCAUUAAUGUUAUAUGGUGAUAAUUACGUACAAUGGAAAGCAAUUAUGUGAAUAUAUAUCGCACUAUAAUUCUGACUGGAUCAGGUAUGGCUUAAAAUAAAUAUGCUCUGGCAGUUAGAUUAGUGCACUUGAACAUGCCAUUUUGUCUGCAGUUAUUUGUUCAGGAAUGUAAUUUGUACCAUUCAAAUCUUUAUUAAGUAUUUGAACCGGCCAAGUCUUUUAAACAUUUAUAUCACCGAGGCUGGUUCCCCAUCUGACCAUGUGAACUUACGACCUCUGCACUGUCAAGCCAGGCAUAUGAAACCUAUGUUCAAAGGACCUAGAUAUUUGUCCAGUUUUGCUAUGGUAAUACUUUCUGCUGGAUGAAUUCGCUGAAGAAGAUGGGUUAAACUUGUACCAUGUGCAAGGAACACUCAAAGAGUGGGUUGCAAGAGAUCAAAUCCAUUGCUCGUUGCUAAGAAAUGGUUUUGGGUCAUGUUUCUCUGCUUUUCCAUUAUUCUACGUGAAAGAAGGCCACAUCAUAGUGAUCUAUAAAAAUUAUAUUGGUUGCUUAUUUGAUUUUAUUUGCAUAUUUUUGCAGCUAAUUAGCACCUGCUUGGUGAUGCUCAAUCAAUGCUACAAGUCAUGGAAGAUUUUGGAAACAGUAGUAUUUUUUAUCUCCCCAAGAAUUAUAGAGAUGUCCUAAAAAUGAUGUCUUAAUAACCAACCUUCACGUCUUUUAUACGAGUAAUGAUCCUUCAUCUCAUUAAUCAAAUACGAAAUUUCAGUGAAGGCCAUAUGUUCCUUAACAGUUAUCUUUUAGCACCCAGAUUGUAUUAUGUGCUUAUAUUCUGUCACUAUUCAUUAAAAUUCAUCUGGCCACUGAUUCAAAUCGGGUGUUUAUUACUCCGAUCAGAUGUGUUCACUUGGGCAAGUGAGGGUUGGAUCUUGCCCUCUGCAAUUUCUUUUGUAGUGAGGCUCUGUUCUUGCUCUUGAAUACCGAUGAAAAGUACUGGUUAGUGCCAAUAUUGAGCAAGCAAAUAACCUAAAACAAUGACAAUGGAAUAUAUAUUAUAUCUUUCUGUCGCAUAUGAUACUGGUUUGUAUCUCACUCUUUCAUAAAGAUGGGAUAGAACAAGCAAUAUUUUUAUCAGUUCCUUUUAGGAGUACCGAAUUGACUGUUAUGUAGGUAUGUUGACUGACAAGUAUGUAUUACUCAACUAGAAAAGAAGCUUUGGGUGUUGGGUUCACGGCAGCAGUUCAAAAGUAUCCAGUAUGACAAGAACUUGAGGGAUAUGCACUGGUUCUGGCU